UACGAAGGGUGCAAACGUUGCUCGGAAUUAUUGGGCGUAAAGCGCACGUAGGCGGCUUUGCAAGUCGGAUGUGAAAUCCCUCGGCUUAACCAAGGAAGUGCAUCCGAAACUGCAGAGCUUGAGUACUUAAGAGGAUCGCGGAAUUCCCGGUGUAGAGGUGAAAUUCGUAGAUAUCGGGAGGAACACCAGUGGCGAAGGCGGCGAUCUGGGAAGAUACUGACGCUGAGGUGCGAAAGCGUUGGGAGCAAACAGG
rnacentral:rRNA from 1 species